rnacentral:rRNA from 1 species
UACGUAGGGUGCGAGCGUUAAUCGGAAUUACUGGGCGUAAAGCGUGCGCAGGCGGUGAUGUAAGACAGGUGUGAAAUCCCCGGGCUUAACCUGGGAACUGCAUUUGUGACUGCAUCGCUGGAGUGCGGCAGAGGGGGAUGGAAUUCCGCGUGUAGCAGUGAAAUGCGUAGAUAUGCGGAGGAACACCGAUGGCGAAGGCAAUCCCCUGGGCCGAUACUGACGCUGAGGAGCGAAAGCAUGGGUAGCGAACAGG